GGAACUCAUCACAGCCAACCGAUACUACAAAAGAAAACAAAGAACUGCCUUUGUUUAUACAAGCACGUGAAGCUCCACUAUUGGUUCUUCAAAAAAUGGGAAUCGUGAUGCUCUACAACAGCAAACAAUCGAUCUGAUGUUGUGUUCGUUUGGAGAAGAUGUUACAAGGCAUGACUUGAUUGAACAUGAAGAAGAUUUUGGGGAUGAGUCUCAUUAUUUCGGUGAUGGCUCAAGAGCAACAAUGAUGUCUCGAAAAUGAAAUACUUGCUGGAAAUGGUGGUGUUGAAUGGAGAUAGUACCUCAGUUAUGUAUGGAUGUGGACCAGAUUCAUCCAUGGACAGAAAAGGGGGUUCCCGACAGGUAUACAAGCUGGAAAACCAGCUGAAAUAUAUGCAUCUACUGCUGUUAAUUGGUGAUGGAGAAUAACGGGGAGUUGCUGCCGUGAUUAAUGGCAGUAAAUGGUGUUGCUGGUGAUCGAUGACGGUAGUUGGAUGGUUAAUAGCGGGUGAUGUUUUGUAGUUAGAGUGUGAACUGAAAAACAACCAAGAAGGAACUGUGGUCGUGCAAAAGUGUUUGCAGUGUGGUUGUUGGUAAUAGACUAGUCUGUCGGUAUCAAGAGACGGACAACAAGCUUACCUGCUACAAGUUAAUGGUUCCGAGAUGCCUGCUAAGUGGUUCUGGAUGAUGGUUGUACAGGGAGAAGAGUAUUUGGCUAAUUUUUGAAUUGGAGGUUACAAAUACAAGAUGCUCAUAAAGUUCAGCUGGGUUUGAUGGGGAGCGUGGUUCGAGUUAUGUCCAGGGAAGAACUGAAUUCAGGCUACAAGAAUUGAAAUCGCUGUGUGCUGGCUCAAAUGAAGAAACGGGAGAUAGUUAUGGGUUAUAUCUCAAGGUCAUGAGACCAGUGAAGACGAAAAGAUGGACUAGCUGAAGGAUGAUGUUCAUAGUUGCCUAAAUUCCUUUUCCUCGCCAAUUUAAGUUCACAUCUUUCUACAAUUUACGACGAUAAGAAAUGGGUCUGAAGUUGGAGCUAAUGGAGAAAUGGAGGUGUAUUUGUUGUGUGUUACGAGAGAUGGCAUUGCUAUUGGAUUCCUGGUGGUGAGCUGUUGUUGCCGAGAUGGAGAAGAAUUGAGCUCGAGUGGUGAUUUGUAUGAGCCGUUGGUACUGGUGGAGGAUGAUGGUCAAUGAGAUGAGAAGAUGUGGCUGCAGUCAGUGAAGGCGAGUGCUAGGUAGGCGGACAGAGAAUAGAAGUUGGCAAGGAGGCUUAGUAUGGCCGGUGAUUGAAUGGGCUUUUGGAGAUACUUCAAUAGUCCAGUUAGAGGACUUCGCAGCAUAUAUAUAUUUUGAGAUAGAAGAUCAGAAAGGGGAGGCCGACGCUGCAAGAGGCUACACUGCCGAGAAUAGCAGUUAGGUUCUGAAAGGGAGGCGCGACUACAAGCAGUUCAAGAGAGCCGCAGAGGAGAUUAGGGUUUGAAUCUUAUUUUUCUCCUUUUUGAUUAGCUAGGAUUUUAUAUUCAUAUUUGUUUAUGGUUUUUAAGAAAUCCAUGCCUAGCUAAUUUCAUGUUAGGGUGAAAGGAUGAAGUUGUAGGAUAUAUUUUUUUCAUGAAUAAGGGUUUUCUAUCGAUCGAACUUAAGUUUAA